AUUGAACGCUAGCGGCAUGCUUAACACAUGCAAGUCGAACGAGUGGCGGACGGGCGAGUAAUAUAUCGAAACGUGCCCAGUAGCGGGGGAUCACUACUAGAAAGAGUGGCCAAUUGUGCAAACUAUCGGUGCGGCCGAUAUUGGAUUAGCGACGUGUGGGGGUAAAGGCUCACCAAGGCAACGAGCCUUCGCUGGUUUGAGAGGACGACCAGCCGAACUGGGACUGAGACACGGCCCAGACUCCUACGGGAGGCAGCAGUGGGGAAUGUUGGACAAUGGGGGAAACCCUGAUCCAGCCAUCCCGCGUGUAUGAGAAGGCCUUCGGGUUGUAAAGUACUUUUGGUAGAGAAGCGGUAUCUACCGAAUAAGCAACGGCUAACUACGUGCCAGCAGCCGCGGUAAUAC
rnacentral:rRNA from 1 species